UUUUAUUUUUAUAAACUAAUCAUGUAGUACAACAACCCACCUCCAUUUUCUCAGUUGUUUAAACUCCACACCAUACUCCACUCAUUGCAUGCACUUCAAGAGUUUAGGACUUAUCCACAUUGUUAGUAUAUCACAACAACCAUACUCCUUUUCUUUUUCCCUCUCUACGAGAAAACCAUCCUCAACAAAUGCACUUUUUAGAUUAACUCUCAAAAGCAAGGCCUAAAAGUCUCAAAAUCCAAGUAUCUUAUGGCGUUUUCAAGUUUUGGUUUAAGGAUUUAGGCUCAAGACUCUGAUUCUUCUAUCUAAUCCUUCUCCUUGCUUGUUUGGGGACACUCAUAGCCCGGGUUUCAUUAUCGAAGGAUUUGCUUCAUUGCUAACAUUUACAUGGAGUUCCAGGUUACAUUUUUUCAAAACUACGGAACGGUUGGAAUAGGAGAACCCACGGGAUUU